rnacentral:rRNA from 1 species
GACGAACGCUGGCGGCGUGCUUAACACAUGCAAGUCGAACGGAAAGGCCCUGCUUUUGUGGGGUGCUCGAGUGGCGAACGGGUGCGUAACACGUGAGUAACCUGCCCUUGACUUUGGGAUAACUUCAGGAAACUGGGGCUAAUACCGGAUAGGAGCUCCUGCUGCAUGGUGGGGGUUGGAAAGUUUCGGCGGGUGGGGAUGGACUCGCGGCUUAUCAGCUUGUUGGUGGGGUAGUGGCUUACCAAGGCUUUGACGGGUAGGCGGCCUGAGAGGGUGACCGGGCACAUGGGGACUGAGAGAGGGCGCAGACGGCUACGGGGGGCAGCAGGGGGGAAUAUGGCACAAUGGGCGGAAGCCUGAGGCAGCAACGCCGGGUGCGGGAUGACGGCCUUCGGGGUGUAAACCGCUGUCGGCUGUGACGAAGCGGGAGUGACGGUAAUGGGUAAAGAAGCACCGGCUAACUACGUG